rnacentral:misc_RNA from 1 species
AAGGAUCAUUACCGAGUGAGGGCCCUCUGGGUCCAACCUCCCACCCGUGUCUAUCGUACCUUGUUGCUUCGGUGGGCCCGCCUCACGGCCGCCGGGGGGCAUCUGCCCCCGGGCCCGCGCCCGCCGAAGACACCUAUGAACUCUGUCUGAAGAUUGCAGUCUGAGCUUAUUAGCUAAAUUAAUUAAAACUUUCAACAACGGAUCUCUUGGUUCCG